rnacentral:rRNA from 1 species
GUGUAUAGGGGCGAAAGACCAAUCGAACCAUCUAGUAGCUGGUUCCCUCUGAAGUUUCCCUCAGGAUAGCUGGCUCUCGGGAAGAGACGAGUCUCAUCCGGUAGAGCGAAUGAUUAGAGGUGAUGGGGUCGAAACGACUUCAACCUAUUCUCAAACUCCCAAUAGAUGAGAGCCCCGGCUUGCUUAAAAGUGGAGCCGCGGGAAUCGGAUCAGAGAUGCCAAGUGGGCCAAUUUU